ACGAUUAAAGCCCCUUCGGGGGUGUAUAAAGUGGCGAAAGGGCGAGGAAUACGUUCCUACGUACCCCGAGGUUUGGGAUAGCCCAGGGAAACUUGGAGUAAUACCAAAUGUGGUCUUCGGAUCAAAGAUUUAUCGCCUUGGGAGCGGGGAACGCCCUAUCAGCUUGUUGGUGAGGUAACGGCUCACCAAGGCUUUGACGGGUAGCGGGUGUGAGAGCAUGACCCGCCGCAUCGGGACUGAGACACUGCCCGGACUCCUACGGGAGGCUGCAGUAACGAAUCUUCCGCAAUGCGCGAAAGCGUGACGGAGCAAUGCCGCGUGCAGGAUGAAGCCCCUCGGGGUGUAAACUGCUGUCAGGGUAUAGGAACACAAUGACCAAACCCAAAGGAAGGGCCGGCUAACUUCGUGCCAGCAGCCGCGGUAAUACGAAGGGCCCGAGCGUUAUUCGGAAUCACUGGGCUUAAAGCGUACGCAGGCGGACCGUCAGGCAUCGUGUGAAAUCCCUCCGCUCAACGGAGGAACUGCACGGUGAACCGUCGGUCUUGAGACAAGUAGGGGCGAUCGGAACGCUAGGUGGAGUGGUGGAAUGCGUUGAUAUCUAGCGGGACGCCGAAGGAGAAAUCAGGUCGCUGGGCUUGUUCUGACGCUGAGGUACGAAAGCGUGGGGAGCGAACGGGAUUAGAUACCCCGGUAGUCCACGCCGUAAACGAUGUGCACUAGGUCGAGGUGGGUCUGACCCCUUCUCGGCCGAAGCGAAAGUGGUAAGUGCACCGCCUGGGGAGUACGGUCGCAAGGCUAAAACUCAAAGGAAUUGACGGGGGCUCACACAAGCGGUGGAGCAUGUGGCUUAAUUCGAAGCAACGCGAAGAACCUUAUCCUGGAUUUGACAUGCACGGAUUAACCCCGUGAAAGCGGGGCCACGCCCUCGGG
rnacentral:rRNA from 1 species